rnacentral:rRNA from 1 species
AUGGCGGCCACCACCAUGUCCCUCUCCUCCUCAGCCUUUGCCGGCAAGGCAGUGAAGAAUGUGUCAUUGUCGGCUCUCUUCGGUGAGGCACGUGUCACCAUGCGCAAGACUGUGGCAAAGGCAAAGCAAGUUGCCUCUAGCCGCCCAUGGUACGGGGCUGACCGCGUGCUCUACCUCUGCCCGCUAUCAGGUGAGCCACCGAGCUAUUUGACCGGUGAAUUCCCUGGUGACUAUGGGUGGGAUACCGCCGGGCUCUCAGCUGACCCCGAGACCUUCGCCAAGAACCGUGAGCUCGAAGUGAUCCACUGCCGAUGGGCUAUGCUUGGCGCGCUCGGUUGUGUCUUCCCUGAGUUGCUCUCCCGCAAUGGCGUCAAGUUUGGCGAGGCUGUUUGGUUCAAGGCCGGCUCCCAAAUCUUCAGCGAGGGCGGCCUCGACUAUCUCGGCAACCCCAGCCUCGUCCAUGCGCAAAGCAUCCUAGCCAUUUGGGCCUGCCAAGUUGUGCUCAUGGGUGCCGUUGAGGGGUACUGCGUUGCCGGUGGCCCACUUGGUGAGAUUGUUGACCCACUUUACCCUGGAGGAAGCUUUGACCCACUUUGCUUAGCCGACGACCCCGAGGCAUUCUCUGAGCUCAAGGUGAAGGAGAUCAAGAACGGUCGUCUUGCCAUGUUCUCCAUGUUCAGCUUCUUUGUUCAAGCCAUUGUCACCGGCAAGGGCCCACUCGAGAAUCUUGCUGACCAUAUCGCCGAUCCAGUCAACAACAACACAUGGGCAUUCACUACUAACUUCGUGCCUGGCAAGUAA